rnacentral:tRNA from 1 species
GCCUGGGUGGCUCAGUCGGUUCAGCAUCUGACUUUGGCUUAGGUCGUGAUCUCACAGUUUGUGGGUUCAAGCCCUGCAUCAGGCU